rnacentral:lncRNA from 1 species
ACUUAUUGAUUAAUUUGUUAUCUAUACUGACUAUACAAAUUAAUUGUUUCGUGCGUACGAGUGAUAUCAUAAGGAAACAUUUUUGUUCCUGAUGUGCAGAUCACAGACUAUUUAAUAUUACAAGAUGGGUUAGCCGGAUAUCUUUAGAACUGUAAGGGUUUUGGUAUGUAUGUUUUUUGGACCAAUAUUUAAAUGAGUUUGGGCACAUUAAGGAAGAGUUUUUCAAUAUAGAAGAAAACCCUUAAAUUUCUGAGGAUAUCCUAGAAUUUCUCAUAAUACAAAG